rnacentral:rRNA from 1 species
UACGGAGGGUGCAAGCGUUAUCCGGAUUUACUGGGUUUAAAGGGUGUGUAGGCGGGCUUUUAAGUCAGUGGUGAAAUCUCUGGGCUCAACCCGGAAACUGCCAUUGAUACUAUUAGUCUUGAAUUUUGUUGAGGUAGGCGGAAUAAGUCAUGUAGCGGUGAAAUGCAUAGAUAUGACUUAAAACACCAAUUGCGAAGGCAGCUUGCUAAACAAAUAUUGACGCUGAGGCACGAAAGCGUGGGGAUCAAACAGG